rnacentral:rRNA from 1 species
UAAUAAAUAGAUUAUGAAUUUAAUUUUAAUUUUAUUAAGUGAAAUUUCUAAAAUUAAAAUAAAUUUAGAUUGAUUUUAUGAGGCUGAUAAGUUUAGAUUUUAAACUAGGAUUAGAUACCCUAUUAUUCUAAAUCAGAUUUUACUUUCUUGGUUAGUAGUAGCUAUGGUCUUGAAAAUUAAAGAAGUUGGCGGUAUUUUAGUCUAUUCAGAGGAACCUGUUCUGUAAUCGAUGAUCCACGAUUUUUUUUACUUAUUUUAUUAAUUUGCAUAUCGCCGUAGGUUGAAUAUUUUUAAAAAAUUAUAAUGUUCAAUAAUUUUUAUGAGAAAAGAAUUCAGGUCAAGGUGUAGUUUAUAGAUAAGAAGAGAUGGGUUACAAUAAAUUUAUUUAGACGGAUUGAUAUAUGAAACUGUAUUAUAAAGAUGGAUUUGAGGGUAAUUUUAUUUAAUUAAAUAAGAUGAUUUAAGCUCUAAAAUAUGUACAU